ACUUCUAGAACAUGGCCACAUAGCCCGAAAUACCCACAAACAGUAUGGAUGCUGGUCAUGAAAGCCUUCGACUUCACAUUCAGUGCAGUAUACCACACUGGUUCUCUCUCCAAGGUGCUGAACUAUUUGGGGGGAUGAGGAUAGGGUCUAGGGCUGCUGCCAUACUGCAGGAAUAAAGCAGUUGGGCACCACUUUAAUUGCCAUGGCUCAAUGCUGUGGACUUCUGGGAUUUUUAGUUUUUGUGAGCUAUCUAUCCUUUCCUGUAAGAGAGCACAGGUGCCCCACCAAACUACAAAUCCUGGAAUUCUAUAGCACUGAGCCAUGGAAGUUAAAGUGGUGUCAAACUGGUUUAUUUCUGCAGUGUGGCAGCCACCAUGGACAGCUCUUUACCUGUUUAGACUAAAGCCCCAAACCUCCCUGAUAUGGAAGCCAUCAACCACUGCUGUGGACAUGUGUUACUCUCUAGCUUAAUUAAGCCUCGUUUUAUUUUUAUAUUACUUUAAAAAAAUAUUUUUAUUGAACAUCAAAACAUAUGAACACUUACAUACACAUUUACAUAUAAAUGUGUAUGUAUAGAGCAGAGGAGGCGGCCCUCCAGCUGUUGUUGGACUGCAUUUUGUAGCAUCCUUCACCAUUGGCUCUGUUGACUAACGCUUGUGAGAAUUUCAGUUGCAACAAACAUGGGGAGGGGGACACAUUUCUCAGUGGAUAAAAGGCUGUUAAGUAAGACCACCCGGUGCUUCCAUUUAAUAGAUAUCAGUUCUUUGGAUCUAACCCUUGGAAGUCCCAGGAACUGACAUCUUCAUGCUAAAAACAUCUUCUACAGAAUCAUGACCUGUCAUCCAUUCACCUAUCUGCUGAUGUGGUACAACUUGGAUUUAAGGAUUUUUCUUAAUAUGAAGUGUAAAGUCAGCUUUGACUCAUGAUGGCUGAGAGGACUCCAAGUUCCCCAGUUAUCAGCAGCCCUGCUCAGGCCUUGCAAGCUCAGGACUGUGCCUUUUUUGACAGAGUCAAUCCACCUGUAAUGCAAUCUUCCCCUUUUCCUACUGCCUUCAACUGAGUAGCUUCUUUUUUUGUUGCAGAUAAAGUCUGUCAUGCUAGAAUGAACUGAAAGAAAUCCCCAAAAGGCAACCAGAGCUGAAAAAGCUUCAGUUUUAUCUAGCUUGUCCACACAGCUGGGCAAAUGUACACAGUGCAGUGGUAGGUCUAGCUUAAGUACCUGGUAAGUAUUGCCAAAAUCUUAAAAUUAUGGGUUCAUAGCUUGGAAGACUUCAGUUUGAGGCAAUUUUUUUUCUGAUUUGGUACUCUUCAGAAGUGCUGGAGCAUGUCAAGCAAGUGCCUUCCAGAUGAUUUGGACUACAACUCUUAUCACCCACAGGCUGCAUAGUUAGAAGAGCAUCAGCAGAAGAAUGGACUUGAGGGACAGGAUAGAAGAGACACAUUAACUAGGGCACAUACAUAUAUUAAUGGCUAAAAGCAACGGGAAGAGGCAAACAGAACAGAUGUAAGCUUGCAGAACUGCAGAAAAUAACAGGAAGCUAGCAGAAUCGUCAGUAAGAGUAUGUUAAUUAAAAAUAAAAAAUUGCCAGAUUGAAA